UGGGGAAUUUUGGACAAUGGGCGAAAGCCUGAUCCAGCAAUGCCGCGUGUGUGAAGAAGGCCUUCGGGUUGUAAAGCACUUUUGUCCGGAAAGAAAUCCUUGGCUCUAAUACAGUCGGGGGAUGACGGUACCGGAAGAAUAAGCACCGGCUAACUACGUGCCAGCAGCCGCGGUAAUACGUAGGGUGCAAGCGUUAAUCGGAAUUACUGGGCGUAAAGCGUGCGCAGGCGGUUUGCUAAGACCGAUGUGAAAUCCCCGGGCCCAACCUGGGAACUGCAUUGGUGACUGGCAGGCUAGAGUAUGGCAGAGGGGGGUAGAAUUCCACGUGUAGCAGUGAAAUGCGUAGAGAUGUGGAGGAAUACCGAUGGCGAAGGCAGCCCCCUGGGCCAAUACUGACGCUCAUGCACGAAAGCGUGGGGAGCAAACAGGAUUAGAUACCCUGGGUAGUCCACGCCCUAAACGAUGUCAACUAGUUGUUGGGGAUUCA
rnacentral:rRNA from 1 species